AGGUCUUUCGGGAUGCUGACGAGUGGCGAACGGGUGAGUAAUACAUCGGAACGUGCCUAGUAGGUGGGGGAUAACUACUCGAAAGAGUGGCUAACACCGCAUGAGAUCUAUGGAUGAAGGCAGGGGACCUUCGGGCCUUGUGCUACUAGAGCGGCCGAUGGCAGAUUAGGUAGUUGGUGGGAAUAAAAGCUUACCAAGCCUACGAUCUGUAGCUGGUCUGAGAGGACGAUCAGCCACACGUGGGACUGAGACACCGGCCCAGACUCC
rnacentral:rRNA from 1 species